GCUUAGGCCAUACCACGUUGAAUACACCAGUUCUCGUCCGAUCACUGAAGUUAAGCAACGUCGGGCUCGGUUAGUACUUGGAUGGGUGACCGCCUGGGAAUACCGAGUGUCGUAAGCU
rnacentral:rRNA from 1 species